CAGAGAAAUAAUUCUCGUCCCAAGGUCAUGUGGCUAGUUGCUUUCAGAGCCAAGAGUUGAACUAGUCUCCCAAGUCUAAUGCUUACCUGUUUUACAACCACCCAGAGCCAAUCUGAGUGAUAGUUUAAAAUGUUCAAAGGACAGGUCUGAGAACUUUACCGUCACCAAACAGCAGGAGAGGAAAAGAGAAGAUCAACUACUUAAAGAGAAGCAGAGGUGACAAGACACAAUUGCCGCUCAAGACCCUUGGCUGGAAAAUGGCAAAACUAGAGGCCCAGAGAGAUUAACUUGACCACUCUGCAAGUGCCAGAGCCAAGAUGCAAACCCCGGCAGUCUGCCUCCAGAUCGCACGCUCUUAACCACGAUCCUGUGCAGUUCCAGGGUCUGGGAGACAUCCAACCACUGGGGAAAGGUAAGAAGAGAAGCGAUUCUUGGAAAAGACCUGAUCAGGCUGGUAACCUUAAGAAGUCUUGGAGCUGAACAAUAAAAUAUCUCAAGAAACAGUUAUGUUAAAAGCCAACCAUUAUCUUUCACAAUGCAUACAGAGCUUCUGCACAAUCUAUGGGAGAUUGCCCCUCAAGCAUUUCCCUCACCCACUGCAUUCCCUGUUCAUUAUCUAACUGAAUAAUUCCACCAUUAAG